CCUACGGGUGGCAGCAGUGAGGAAUAUUGGUCAAUGGACGAGAGUCUGAACCAGCCAAGUAGCGUGAAGGAUGACUGCCCUAUGGGUUGUAAACUUCUUUUAUAUGGGAAUAAAACGAGGUACGCAUGCCUUUUUGUAUGUACUUUAUGAAUAAGGAUCGGCUAACUCCGUGCCAGCAGCCGCGGUAAUACGGAGGAUCCGAGCGUUAUCCGGAUUUAUUGGGUUUAAAGGGAGCGUAGGUGGGUUGUUAAGUCAGUUGUGAAAGUUUGCGGCUCAACCGUAAAAUUGCAAUUGAUACUGGCAGUCUUGAGUACAGUUGAGGUAGGCGGAAUUCGUGGUGUAGCGGUGAAAUGCUUAGAUAUCACGAAGAACCCCGAUUGCGAAGGCAGCUUACUAAACUGUAACUGACACUGAUGCUCGAAAGUGUGGGUAUCAAACAGGAUUAGAUACCCUAGUAGUC
rnacentral:rRNA from 1 species